rnacentral:rRNA from 1 species
AUUGAACGCUGGCGGCAGGCCUAACACAUGCAAGUCGAACGAGUGGCGGACGGGUGAGUAAUGUCUGGGAAACUGCCAGAUGGAGGGGGAUAAAUACUGGAAAAGGUAGCUAAUACCGCAUACCAUCGGAUGUGCCACGAGGGGAUAAGCGCGGGGGUGGGGUAAUGGCGCACCUAGGCGACGAUCCCUAGCUGGUCUGAGAGGAGGACCAGCCAUACUGGAACUGAGACACGGUCCAGACUCCUACGGGAGGCAGCAGUGGGGACUAUUGCACAAUGGGCGCAAGCCUUAUGCAGCCAUGCCGCGUGUAUGAAGAAGGCCUUCGGGUUGUAAAGUACUUUCAGCGAGGAGGCGUUACUCGCAGAAGAAGCACCGGCUAACUCCGUGCCAGCAGCCGCGGUAAUUC